rnacentral:rRNA from 1 species
CCCCAGACUCCUACGGGAGGCAGCAGUGGGGGAUAUUGCACAAUGGGGGGAACCCUGAUGCAGCGACGCCGCGUGGGUGAAGAAGCGCCUCGGCGCGUAAAGCCCUGUCAGCAGGGAAGAAAAUGACGGUACCUGAAGAAGAAGCCCCGGCUAACUACGUGCCAGCAGCCGCGGUAAUACGUAGGGGGCAAGCGUUGUCCGGAUUUACUGGGUGUAAAGGGCGUGUAGCCGGGCUUACAAGUCAGAUGUGAAAUCCGGGGGCUCAACCCCCGAACUGCAUUUGAAACUGUUUCCCUUGAGUGUCGGAGAGGUAAUCGGAAUUCCUUGUGUAGCGGUGAAAUGCGUAGAUAUAAGGAAGAACACCAGUGGCGAAGGCGGAUUACUGGACGAUAACUGACGGUGAGGCGCGAAAGCGUGGGGAGCAAACAGGAUUAGAUACCCGGGUAAA